AUUGAACGCUGGCGGCAUGCCUUACACAUGCAAGUCGAACGGUAACGGGCCUUCGGGUGCCGACGAGUGGCGAACGGGUGAGUAAUACAUCGGAACGUGCCCGAUCGUGGGGGAUAACGAGGCGAAAGCUUUGCUAAUACCGCAUACGAUCUACGGAUGAAAGCAGGGGACCGCAAGGCCUUGCGCGGACGGAGCGGCCGAUGGCAGAUUAGGUAGUUGGUGGGAUAAAAGCUUACCAAGCCGACGAUCUGUAGCUGGUCUGAGAGGAUGAUCAGCCACACUGGGACUGAGACACGGACCAGACUCCUACGGGAGGCAGCAGUGGGGAAUUUUGGACAAUGGGCGCAAGCCUGAUCCAGCCAUGCAGCGUGCAGGAUGAAGGCCUUCGGGUUGUAAACUGCUUUUGUACGGAACGAAAAGCCUUCUUUUAAUACAGGAGGGUCAUGACGGUACCGUAAGAAUAAGCACCGGCUAACUACGUG
rnacentral:rRNA from 1 species